GGCCUCGUAGUCCAGAUGGUUAGAGCGUUUGCCGUAUAGAAUCCCAUGUGUUUAUUGUUAUGGGUUAAAAUCCCAUCGAGAUCA
rnacentral:tRNA from 1 species